rnacentral:rRNA from 1 species
UACGUAGGGUGCAAGCGUUAAUCGGAAUUACUGGGCGUAAAGCGUGCGCAGGCGGUUUUGUAAGUCUGUCGUGAAAUCCCCGGGCUCAACCUGGGAAUUGCGAUGGAGACUGCAAGGCUAGAAUCUGGCAGAGGGGGGUAGAAUUCCACGUGUGAGCAGUGAAAUGCGUAGAGAUGUGGAGGAACACCGAUGGCGAAGGCAGCCCCCUGGGUCAAGAUUGACGCUCAUGCACGAAAGCUGGGGAG